AGAGACAAAGGGCAGGGAGAUCUGGAGCCUUCAAUAAAUCCUGUAGCGAGGUAUUCCUGAUGUCCCUGACUCAACAGAAUUCCCAAUUCCUGUCUCGUCCAUCACCACAUUGAAGACGGUUGGUCAGCCAGAGAGAGAUGGAGAGUGAGAUCUGGAUCCUUCAGUAAAUCCUGCAGCCGGUAGUCAGGAAGUUCCUGACUCAAUAGACUUCCCAACUGCUGUGUGUCUCAUCCAUCACCUUAUUGUAGAUGGUUGGUCAGC